rnacentral:rRNA from 1 species
AGAGUUUGAUCCUGGCUCAGACGAACGCUGGCGGCGUGCUUAACACAUGCAAGUCGAACGAUGAAGCCCUUCGGGGUGGAUUAGUGGCGAACGGGUGAGUAACACGUGGGCAAUCUGCCCUUCACUCUGGGACAAGCCCUGGAAACGGGGUCUAAUACCGGAUAACACUCCUGCCUGCAUGGGUGGGGGUUAAAAGCUCCGGCGGUGAAGGAUGAGCCCGCGGCCUAUCAGCUUGUUGGUGGGGUAAUGGCCUACCAAGGCGACGACGGGUAGCCGGCCUGAGAGGGCGACCGGCCACACUGGGACUGAGACACGGCCCAGACUCCUACGGGAGGCAGCAGUGGGGAAUAUUGCACAAUGGGCGAAAGCCUGAUGCAGCGACGCCGCGUGAGGGAUGACGGCCUUCGGGUUGUAAACCUCUUUCAGCAGGGAAGAAGCGAAAGUGACGGUACCUGCAGAAGAAGCGCCGGCUAACUACGUGCCAGCAGCCGCGGUAAUACGUAGGGCGCAAGCGUUGUCCGGAAUUAUUGGGCGUAAAGAGCUCGUAGGCGGCUUGUCGCGUCGGAUGUGAAAGCCCGGGGCUUAACCCCGGGUCUGCAUUCGAUACGGGCAGGCUAGAGUGUGGUAGGGGAGAUCGGAAUUCCUGGUGUAGCGGUGAAAUGCGCAGAUAUCAGGAGGAACACCGGUGGCGAAGGCGGAUCUCUGGGCCAUUACUGACGCUGAGGAGCGAAAGCGUGGGGAGCGAACAGGAUUAGAUACCCUGGUAGUCCACGCCGUAAACGUUGGGAACUAGGUGUUGGCGACAUUCCACGUCGUCGGUGCCGCAGCUAACGCAUUAAGUCCCCGCCUGGGGAGUACGGCCGCAAGGCUAAAACUCAAAGGAAUUGACGG